UGCCAGCCGCCGCGGUAAUACAGAGAUGGCAACCGUUAUUCGGAAUCACUGGGCUUAAAGCGCACGCAGGCGGAAUUAUAAGCUGGUUGUGAAAUCCCAUGGCUUACCCAUGGAACUGCAUCCAGAACUGUAAAUCUUGAGGUCAGGAGGGGAGAGUGGAACUCAUAGUGGAGCGGUGAAAUGCGUUGAUAUUAUGAGGAACGCCGGAGGCGAAAGCGACUCUCUGGACUGAAUCUGACGCUGAGGUGCGAAAGCUAGGGGAGCAAACGGGAUUAGAUA
rnacentral:rRNA from 1 species